CCUACGGGUGGCAGCAGUGAGGAAUAUUGGUCAAUGGGCGCGAGCCUGAACCAGCCAAGUAGCGUGAAGGAUGACUGCCCUACGGGUUGUAAACUUCUUUUAUCAAGGAAUAAAGUGAGGCACGGGUGCCUUUUUGUGUGUACUUUAUGAAUAAGGAUCGGCUAACUCCGUGCCAGCAGCCGCGGUAAUACGGAGGAUCCGAGCGUUAUCCGGAUUUAUUGGGUUUAAAGGGAGCGUAGAUGGGUUGUUAAGUCAGUGGUGAAAGUUUGCGGCUCAACCGUCAAAUUGCAAUUGAAACUGGCAGCCUUGAGUACAGUUGAGGUAGGCGGAAUUCGUGGUGUAGCGGUGAAAUGCUUAGAUAUCACGAAGAACUCCGAUUGCGAAGGCAGCUUACUAAACUGCAACUGACAUUGAUGCUCGAAAGUGUGGGUAUCAAACAGGAUUAGAUACCCGUGUAGUC
rnacentral:rRNA from 1 species